AAGGAUCAUUAAAUAAUCAAUAAUUUUGGCUUGUCCAUCAUUAUCUAUUUACUGUGAACUGUAUUAUUACUUGACGCUUGAGGGAUGUUCCAUUGCUAUAAGGAUAGGCACUGGAAAUGUUAACCGAGUCAUAAUCAAGCUUAGGCUUGGUAUCCUAUUAUUAUUUACCAAAAGAAUUCAGAAUUAAUAUUGUAACAUAGACGUAAAAAAUCUAUAAAACAACUUUUAACAACGGAUCUCUUGGUUCUCGCAUCGAUGAAGAACGUAGCAAAGUGCGAUAACUAGUGUGAAUUGCAUAUUCAGUGAAUCAUCGAGUCUUUGAACGCAACUUGCGCUCAUUGGUAUUCCAAUGAGCACGCCUGUUUCAGUAUCAAAACAAACCCUCUAUCCAACUUUUGUUGAAUAGGAUGACUGAGAGUCUCUUGAUCUAUUCUGAUCUCGAACCUCUUGAAAUGUACAAAGGCCUGAUCUUGUUUGAAUGCCUGAACUUUUUUUUAAUAUAAAGAGAAGCUCUUGCGAUAAAACUGUGCUGGGGCCUCCCAAAUAACACAUCUUUAAAUUUGAUCUGAAAUCAGGUGGGAUUACCCGCUGAACUUAA
rnacentral:rRNA from 1 species